rnacentral:rRNA from 1 species
UACGAAGGGGGCUAGCGUUGCUCGGAAUCACUGGGCGUAAAGCGCACGUAGGCGGAUUGCUAAGUCAGGGGUGAAAUCCUGGAGCUCAACUCCAGAACUGCCUUUGAUACUGGCGAUCUCGAGUCCGGGAGAGGUGAGUGGAACUGCGAGUGUAGAGGUGAAAUUCGAUAGAUAUUCGCAAGAACACCAGUGGCGAAGGCGGCUCACUGGCCCGGUACUGACGCUGAGGUGCGAAAGCGUGGGGAGCAAACAGGG